rnacentral:lncRNA from 1 species
AUUGUCAAAACAUUAAGUAUACAUUUACAUUUUAUUUUGAACUCUGCUACUGUGUAAUAUCCUUUAUUUAAGAGUAUUUUAACCAUUCUUCCUUUGAAUUGCAUAGCAUCUAACCUUUUCAAACUCUCUGGAAUAUGGUUGUAUAUCCGUAU